rnacentral:lncRNA from 1 species
UUCUCCAAGUUACAAAAAUUGUCUGAAUAACAUAAACUCUUCAAAUGUGCUUGUUGCCUCAGGGCAAGGCAUUAUUUUCUGCAAUUUAAUCAUGAACUAAAUGAUCUAAAUAUCUCUGUAGUGAUAGAUAAGGAAAGGUAGCUUUAAAGAGGACAUAAAGCUUGGGAGGAGGGUUUUUUUUUUAAAAUAGCUUUCGGAUAUGGUUCCAGGGUACUGACUUGAUGAAUUAGCGGCUUUUUUUUUUUUAAGUGGGGAAAUUACAAGGAAAUUGGGACAAUUUGUAACCUUAAUACACUUAGAAAGGUACCUGUAAAAUUAUUGAUUUUAUGUGAAUCUCUGUGUCUUUCAUAAUGUUUCUUAGAAAUGAAUCCUGUAAUGCUUCCUCCUUCCUUCUAACUCAUAAUUUAUACGAAUAUUUUUAGACAAAAACCAGAACUAGUGAACCAAUGCUUUUGAGACAGAAAACAAACAUUUGAUUUCAUCCCAAUGAACUGUCAAAUAGACCUGCCAGAGACUUUCAGCACUUUGGACAUUGCUGCCCAAGUAUAUACUUUCUUAGAGGUGAAAUCUCAUCAUUGUGAGUACUUAUUCCAGAGAUACAGAUAAAAAAUUCCCAUGAAUUCUUAUCCUGUGACAUUUUCUUCCAAAAAUCAUUUGUAGAAAACUCACCAAAUGCAUAGAAGGCCAUCUUUCAGUUCAAUUAAUUAAAAGUGUGUACUUUGGUUGUCCAUGUAUUAUUAUUCUUUAUUUUUGUCACCACUGUUCCACUUCCUUUUAUACUCAUAUAUAUCCUUAAUGGUGUCUUUUUUGCUAUUUCUCACCCCAGAGCCACUGACCAUAUGUAAUUUAGGCUACUUAUACAUUCUAAGCAUAUUGUCAUUAACUGUUAGAAUGUUUAUGCUAAUAAUAUUUGCUCUUGAUACUAAAUUGAAUGUCAUUUGGCCUAAUGAUAAAACUUUUAUUUGUAUUUUUCAAGGAGGUAAAGAAGAGAGAGAAAGGAUCAAUAUAUUCAAGGAUAUUAAUAACUACUUUUUAUUGUGGCAAAGAAUUAGAAACAAAAGAACUGUACCUCAAUUAAGUGUAUCACUGGAGGAAGGGUGAAGAAAUCGAUAUAAAUGCAAAAGUCAGGCUUGAUUUUGUAAGUUUUUGAAUUCUACUUAACUUUUAGGUCAGGGUAUUUUCCAAAAAGGAAACAAAGCAACUUUGAUAAUUAAAUCCUCUUUAAAAAACUUGAUUAAAUUAAGAGAAGUACAACUAGAAGAACAUGAGAGGAAAUAAACAGUAGGGACAGCUUUGACUCCA